CUCCCGGGUCCUGCAGGAGCAGUUCACUUCCUUCAGAGGGUCUGUGGUUCUCUUAGGAUUACUGGCGUUGGCCUUCCAAAGUCAAGGUGUCAUGAGAGCCACCCUUCCCAAAGUAGCACUUGUGAGCAGAGGUGAUCAGAGGGCUUUCUGAAGAGUGAGGAGUGACUUCAGAGGGCCAAAAAGAAGAAAAGGGAGUGAGACAGUCGUUAAGACUCCUAAUCCCGGCUUAUUUUUACUGCUUCUCAACACAGCAUUGCAAGUGGCUGAUUUGAUGGAUGUGGCACGUGACCAAGUUCUGGCUAAUGAGAUGUCUGAAACUUAAAGUGGAAGAGAUGUAUCAUCUCCUUUUCCUUGCUCCAUCCUGCUACCUGAAAAAUGGAUGUGGUGACAAGCCCUGGAAAACCACAAGGAUGAGAACAGCACUGGAGAGAUGGUGCAGCGCAUGAUGCAAUUGCCUAGGUAUCUGAUGGCUGAGUAGAAUUUCUCUCCUCCGACUUUUACAUGGGAAGGAAAUAAAACUCUAUUUUGUUUGAAACUCUGUUAUUUUAGGUCAAUGUUUUAAGUAGCUGUAGCCAUGUACUAAUUCUUUCCACGAACAGCCAGGUUUCGCAUGAUAGCCUUCAGACAUCUGAGAGUCACGGCAUACACAGUUCUGAUAACCUCAUGUUGUUAUUGCUCUCAGGAACUGACUUGCACUUUGGCUAAACCAUCUGGACCUUCAAGCUGAAAACUGAAGUCAUUGCUUCAAUGUUACCCAAUGGAUUCUAUUACUGGGGUACACAAAGAAAAAGGAGAUGUAAAUGGGCCUGAGGGAGAGUCUGAGUGCUGGACCUGAGUCAGUUCAGAGACAUGAUCACAGAAUCACAUGAGACAUUUUGCCAAGUUUUACCAGGGACAAAAGCCAAGGUCUCUUGAAUCUCAGCCUAGUGCAGGCAUCUUUCUCCUGAUGUUUCAUCCUUCUUAAAGAACUAUCAGAAACCAAAUCUUUAGUAUAGGUACCUAAGAUAUUUUUCUAGCUUUUCCCUUUUGUUAUUUUCUAUUUAGCUGUGUUUCUCCUUGUCCGUUCUUUAUUUACUAAACUUUCUAUUGAAUAUCUUUUCUACUUAAAACUAGUCCCAUGAUUCAAAAGCGGCCCUUGUCUGGCCUACAUGGUGAAACCCCGUCUCUACUAAAAAUACAAAAAUUAGCUGGGAGUGGUGAUAGGCACCUGCAAUCCCAGCUACUUAGGAGGCCGAGGCAGGAGAAUUGCUUGAACCCAGGAGGCAGAGGUCGCAGUGAGCCAAGAUCAUGCCACCGCACUCCAGCCUGGGUG
rnacentral:lncRNA from 1 species